UAAGGAAUAUUGGUCAAUGGACGCAAGUCUGAACCAGCCAUGCCGCGUGAAGGAUGACGGCCCUCUGGGUUGUAAACUUCUUUUAUCUGGGACGAAACAAGGUCAUUCUUGAUCACUUGACGGUACCAGAGGAAUAAGCACCGGCUAACUCCGUGCCAGCAGCCGCGGUAAUACGGAGGGUGCAAGCGUUGUCCGGAAUUAUUGGGCGUAACGAGCUCGUAGGCGGGUUGUCGCGUCUGCUGUGAAACU
rnacentral:rRNA from 1 species